rnacentral:misc_RNA from 1 species
AACGGUCUAUACCUGCGGUACCUGCGGAAGGAUCAUUAUCAAUUUACAGCGGACUUCGGUCCUGUCUGCACCCUUGUCUUUUGCGUACUAUAUGUUUCCUCGGUGGGCUUGCCUGCCGAUAGGACACUUAUAAACUCUUUUGUAAUUGCAAUCAGCGUCAGAAAACUAUAAUAGUUACAACUUUUAACAAUGGAUCUCU